rnacentral:rRNA from 1 species
GGAGUACGGCCGCAAGGUUGAAACUCAAAGGAAUUGACCGGGGACCCGCACAAGCGGUGGAUGAUGUGGUUUAAUUCGAUGCAACGCGAAAAACCUUACCCACCUUUGACAUGUAUGGAAGUCGCUAGAGAUAGCUUCGUGCUCGAAAGAGAGCCAUAACACAGGUGCUGCAUGGCUGUCGUCAGGNUCGUGUCGUGAGAUGUUGGGUUAAGUCCCGCAGCGAGCGCAACCCUUGUCAUUAGUUGCUACAUUUAGUUGGGCACUCUAAUGAGACUGCCGGUGACAAACCGGAGGAAGGUGGGGAUGACGUCAAGUCCUCAUGGCCCUUAUAGGUGGGGCUACACACGUCAUACAAUGGCCGGUACAAAGGGUUGCCAACCCGCGAGGGGGAGCCAAUCCCAUAAAACCGGUCGUAGUCCGGAUCGCAGUCUGCAACUCGACUGCGUGAAGUCGGAAUCGCUAGUAAUCGUGGAUCAGAAUGUCACGGUGAAUACGUUCCCGGGUCUUGUACACACCGCCCGUCACACCAUGGGAGCGGGUUCUGCCAGAAGUAGUUAGCCUAACCGNCAAGGAGGGCGAUUACCACGGCAGGGUUCGUGACUGGGGUGAAGUCGUAANCAAGGUACC